GAUGAACGCUGGCGGCGUGCCUAAUACAUGCAAGUAGAACGCUGAAGGAAGGAGCUUGCUCUUUCCGGAUGAGUUGCGAACGGGUGAGUAACGCGUAGGUAACCUGCCUGGUAGCGGGGGAUAACUAUUGGAAACGAUAGCUAAUACCGCAUAACAGUAGAUGUUGCAUGAUAUCUACUUAAAAGGUGCAAUUGCACCACUACCAGAUGGACCUGCGUUGUAUUAGCUAGUUGGUGAGGUAACGGCUCACCAGGGCGACGAUACAUAGCCGACCUGAGAGGGUGAUCGGCCACACUGGGACUGAGACACGGUCCAGACUCCUACGGGAGGCAGCAGUAGGGAAUCUUCGGCAAUGGACGGAAGUCUGACCGAGCAACGCCGCGUGAGUGAAGAAGGUUUUCGGAUCGUAAAGCUCUGUUGUAAGAGAAGAACGAGUGUGAGAGUGGAAAGUUCACACUGUGACGGUAUCUUACCAGAAAGGGACGGCUAACUACGUG
rnacentral:rRNA from 1 species